rnacentral:rRNA from 1 species
UGGGGAAUAUUGCACAAUGGGCGCAAGCCUGAUGCAGCCAUGCCGCGUGUGUGAAGAAGGCCUUCGGGUUGUAAAGCACUUUCAGCGAGGAGGAAAGGUUGACGGUUAAUACCCGUCAGCUGUGACGUUACUCGCAGAAGAAGCACCGGCUAACUCCGUGCCAGCAGCCGCGGUAAUACGGAGGGUGCGAGCGUUAAUCGGAAUUACUGGGCGUAAAGCGCAUGCAGGCGGUCUGGUCAGUCAGAUGUGAAAGCCCCGGGCUUAACCUGGGAACUGCAUUUGAUACUGCCAGACUAGAGUCCUUGAGAGGGGGGUAGAAUUUCAGGUGUAGCGGUGAAAUGCGUAGAGAUCUGAAGGAAUACCAGUGGCGAAGGCGGCCCCCUGGCAAGAGACUGACGCUCAGAUGCGAAAGCGUGGGGAGCAAACAGGAUUAGAUACCCCCGUAGUCC